rnacentral:rRNA from 1 species
CAAGUAGAACGGGAUUUGUCGCAAGACAAGUUUAGUUGCGAACGGCUGAGUAACACGUAGGAAUCUACCUCUUGGUGGGGAAUACCCUGUCGAAAGACAGGCUAAUACCGCAUGAGAUCGCAAGAUCAAAGGGCUUAACCGCCCGCCGAGAGAGGAGCCUGCGGCCCAUCAGCUAGUUGGUGAGGUAAAGGCUUACCAAGGCUACGACGGGUAGGGGGCGUGAGAGCGCGUUCCCCCAGAAUGGGACUGAGACACGGCCCAUACACCUACGGGUGGCAGCAACCGGGAAUAGUACGCAAUGGACGAAAGUCUGACGUCGCGACGCCGCGUGGAGGAUGAAGGCCUACGGGUCGUAAACUCCUUUUGCCAAGUGGGAGACCACUUGGAGAAUAAGUAACUGCUAACUCUGUGCCAGCAGCAGCGGUAAUACAGAGGUUACAAGCAUUGUCCGGAAUCACUGGGCGUAAAGCGUUUCGCAGGUGUUUUUCUAAGUUACGUUUGAAAGACCGGGGCUCAACUUCGGGAACGGGCGUAAUACUGGAAGAAUUGAAGGGUAUCGGGGCUAUUGGAACUGUCGGUGUAGGGGUGAAAUCCGUUGAUAUCGACAGGAACUCCGAGGGCGUAGGCAGAUAGCUAGGUACCUCUUGACACUCAUGAACGAAAGCUAGGGGAGCGAAAGGGAUGGAGAUUUACUCUAGUCCCACUACAGAGUGAUCUGUAGUUAAAAAUUUGGCUAUAUCGGUGAACCUCCUUUUUUACCUAAAAAAGGAAAAUACCGAGGGAAGUUUAUAUCCUAUUCUUUAGAGUAUGAAUCCCGUAGAGACUACACGCCGAACUCUUGAUUUAUCAAGAUGAAGAUAUAGUCCGACCUUCGUAGCAAUACGAAGCGUAUUUCA